CAGAAGAUAACCCGUAUCAGAAACGAGAAAAGUCUUCAGCUGUUCGAGAGGCCCUAAGACUAGAUCCAAAGCGUGUGCGCACAGAAGAAAUGUUUGCAGCCAGCUUCCCAGAUAUUAAAGGGCAUCAAAACCACCCCAUUUUUGGAAAGGAAUCAAGAGACAUUUGGAACAUCAUAAAAAAGGUCAAGGCAGGAAACAGGAAGUCCAGUGCAGACCAUCAUAAUCUACAGGCCUUGGUAAACACAUGGAAAGAAGAGGGCUGUGCCAUUGAGUACAGACCCUCUCAGGAGAAGGAGGAUGGUAGCGUGGUGAAGAUGCUGCUGUGCUUGCAGACGCUUACUGGAUGAAUCCUAUCGAGCUGGCAGAAAUUCACUACCACUCUUCUUUCUGUGGGUGAGGACAAAUGUGAGCUACGCCGCUGUUGGAGUGUUUGUCACUCAGACAGAGACUAAAGAGGACAUCGCAGAAGCCUUGAAGGUGUUUCAGAAGUGGAAUUCAGACUGGAAUCCAUCACACUUCAUGGUGGACUUCUGUGAGGCAGAAAUCAGUGCUUUAGAGGAGGUGUUUAAGGGUUCUAAAGUGCUCCUCUGUGAUGUUCACCGAGAGAAGGCAUGGAUGGAGUGGAUAAGAAAAAAGGACAAUGGUGUGACAUCUCAGGAAGAGGUUCUUAAACUUCUACAGGCCAUUGCAGAUUCUCAGACGAAUGAGGAGUUUGAGAACAACACUGUUACCCUUCAACAACAUCCAGACUGGCAGUCAAAUGAGAAGCUGAGAAGGUUCGUCAGCACAUGGCU